GAUGAACGCUGGCGGCGUGCCUAAUACAUGCAAGUAGAACGCUGAAGGCGGAGCUUGCUCUGCUGGAUGAGUUGCGAACGGGUGAGUAACGCGUAGGUAACCUGCCUGGUAGCGGGGGAUAACUAUUGGAAACGAUAGCUAAUACCGCAUGACAACAGUUAUUGCAUGAUAACUGUUGAAAAGGGGCAACUGCUCCACUACCAGAUGGACCUGCGUUGUAUUAGCUAGUUGGUGAGGUAACGGCUCACCAAGGCGACGUUACAUAGCCGACCUGCGAGGGUGAGCAGCCACACUGAGACUGAGACACGGCCCAGACGCCCACGGGAGGCAGCAGUAGUGCAUCGGGAGGAAGGGGCGGAAGACUGAGCGAGAAACGCCGCGGGAGUGUAGAAGGAUGUCGGAUCGGAAAGCUCGGUUGUAAGAGAAGAACGAGUGUGAGGGUGGAAAGUUCACACUGUGACGGUAUCUUAACAGAAAGGGACGGCUAACUACGUG
rnacentral:rRNA from 1 species